rnacentral:rRNA from 1 species
CCUACGGGUGGCUGCAGUGGGGAAUAUUGCGCAAUGGGCGAAAGCCUGACGCAGCGACGCCGCGUGAGGGAUGAAGGUCUUCUGAUCGUAAACCUCUUUCAGCAGGGAAGAACGGUCACUGUGCUAAUCAGCAGUGAAUUGACGGUACCUGCAAAGGAAGCACCGGCUAACUCCGUGCCAGCAGCCGCGGGAAUACGGAGGGUGCGAGCGUUAAUCGGCAUUACUGGGCGUAAAGGGCUCGUCGGCGGGAUGUCAAGGCAAGUGGGAAAUCCCCGCGCUCAACGGGGGAACUGCCUUUGAAACUGGCAAACUGGAGUGUGUGAGAGGAUAGUGGAAUUCCAGGUGUAGGAGUGAAAUCCGUAGAUAUCUGGCGGAACAUCAGUGGCGAAGGCGACUAUCUGGCACAUAACUGACGCUGAGGAGCGAAAGCGUGGGUAGCAAACAGGAUUAGAUACCCCAGUAGUC